rnacentral:rRNA from 1 species
AGGACGAACGCUGGCGGCGUGCUUAACACAUGCAAGUCGAACGAGGUCCAACCUUCGGGUGAAGACCUAGUGGCGAACGGGUGCGUAACACGUGAGGAACUUGUCCCGGUCUCUGGGAUAACAGUUGGAAACGACUGCUAAUACCGGAUGACGUCGGAGCGUCGCAUGGCGCGCUGACGAAAGGGUUACUGGAUCGGGAGAGCCUCGCGGCCUAUCAGCUUGUUGGUGGGGUAACGCCUACCAAGGCAUCGACGGGUAGCUGGUCUGAGAGGAUGAUCAGCCACACUGGGACUGAGACACGGCCCAGACUCCUACGGGAGGCAGCAGUGGGGAAUCGUUGCGCAAUGGGCGAAAGCCUGACGCAGCAACGCCGCGUGCGGGAAGAAGGCUCUCGGGUUGUAAACCGCUUUCAGAAGGAACGAAACUGACGGUACUUCAGAAGAAGGUGCGGCCAACUACGCGCCAGCAGCCGC